AGGGGGUUUGAUCCUGGGCUCAGAACGAACGCUGGCGGCGCGCCUAACACAUGCAAGUCGAGCGAGAGGCCGGGGCAACCCGGUAGUACAGCGGCAAACGGGUGAGGAAUACGUGGGUGACCUACCCCUGAGUGGGGAAUAACCUGCCGAAAGGUGGGCUAAUACCGCAUACGCUGUCUGGUUUGCGGAUCAGGCAGGAAAGCCGUCCCGUGGGGGCGGCGCUCGAGGAUGGGCUCAUGUCCUAUCAGCUUGUUGGUAGGGUAACGGCCUACCAAGGCAACGACGGGUAGCUGGUCUGAGAGGAUGAUCAGCCACACUGGGACUGCGACACGGGCCAGACUCCUACGGGAGGCAGCAGUUGAGGAAUAUUGCGCAAUGGUGCUGAAAGCCUGACGCAGCGACGCCGCGUUGGGGGAUGAAGGUCUUCUGAUUGU
rnacentral:rRNA from 1 species